ensembl:lncRNA ZNF767P zinc finger family member 767, pseudogene
GAGCACCGGGAGGCGGGCCCUGCGUGGGGCCGCGCGCAGCAGCGGCGACGACUUUAUCUGGGCCGCGGGGGACAGCGCAGGGCCAUGGAGGAGGCGGCCGCAGCUCCGAUUUCUCCGUGGACGAUGGCAGCCACGAUUCAGGCCAUGGAGAGGAAGAUUGAAUCGCAGGCUGCUCACCUGCUUUCCCUAGAAGGUCAAACCGGGAUGGCCGAGAAGAAGCUGGCUGAUUGCGAGAAGACAGCCGUGGAGUUCGGGAACCAGCUGGAGGGCAAGUGGGCCGUGCUGGGGACCCUGCUGCAGGAGUACGGGCUGCUGCAGAGGCGGCUGGAGAACGUGGAGAACCUGCUGCACAACAGGAACUUCUGGAUCCUGCGGCUGCCCCCGGGCAGCAAGGGGGAGUCCCCUAAGGUGCCUAUGACAUUUGAUGAUGUGGCUGUGUAGUUCUCUGAGCAAGUGUGGGGCAAGCUGGAGGACUGGCAGAAGGAGCUCUGCAAGCACGUGAUGAGGGGCAACUGCGAGAUGCUGGUCUCUUUGGACUACGCCAUCUCCAAGUCCGAGGUCCUCUCCCAGAUUGAACAAGGGAAGGAGCCCUGCAACUGGCGCCGCCCUGACCCCAAGAUUCCAGAUGUUCCUGUGGACCCCAGUCCAGAUGCAGAAACUGAGGCCCAGCAGAGAUUGAGUAACUUAUGCGAGUUGUCACUCACCUCACACGCCCCAGCAAGCAUCCAGGAGAGCCUGCCUCUUGGAAUAGAAAUCAGACAUCCCACAGGAACUCUGAGGUUUUCCCACUGCUGCCAGAUGUAUGCAAGGAACACGUGAUCUUCGUAAUUCCAGAGCGGGGCAAACUGCUUGGCACCUCUUCAAUAGGUGACAUUCAAUGAUAGAUCUCUGGCUUCCUGCUCUGUUUGUUCUGGUUGCCCUGGAAAGCCUGCUGCUCAGCCCAUGCCCCGGGACUUCCUCCACCCUCACCAGGACAUUCUUUCCAUCUCUUGUCUCCUGUGUGCAAGUCCCUUUCUCCUGGAUUCCAUGUCUUGAAUGUUUCUUAAUUUACUUCCUCAUUUUGGCAGAGGAUGUCCUCCAGUUGUUUUCUGGGAAUGCUAAUAUGCAAGUGAACCAGUGACCUGCAGUUCUGCCCACACAGGGUUAAUAACCAAUCAGAUUCUCUCUUUUCAAGAUGGUUAACAUAACAGACACCAAGAAAGGGAAGAGGAGCCGACAGCAGAGGGGGAAGCUGAAAAGACGCACAAAGAAUGGCCAUAAAAGAUAUGAGCAACCCCAGCUUUCCAGACAGUCACUUUUCCCAGUGGUCAUACCUGGUCUGGAAGAUUCCCCAUCAUCUCGAAUAAAGCUGUUGUUGCUUUUAACUCCAUGGAGAGACCGAAUGGAGUGAGCCCAGCAGGGCAUGCUGGGCAAGAGAGGUCCCCCGAGUCCCAAAUAAGAAUUUCAACUAGUAUAAAACGAGGCAGCGAACCCACACGUGGAAGUCUGAUACCGCUUGCAGAAGGGAAUUGAAUAGAUGUCUCCCUAUUGGUAAGGAUGUGGUUUUAUUGACUUGAAAUAACAAAGCCCGCAAGCAACAACUGAUCAUCCGCGGGAUGCUGCCACAAGGAAUAAUUGAGCACUCAUUCAGACACAGGGGAAACCACUGCCUCUUUCAGUCUUUCUCCCAGAUUCCAACAGUCAGUGUUACAGCAUUUCACCUUGUUCACCUCCCUGAGAAGACGUUGCAGCUCACUCACCCCAGUGGGCACUGGGAGCCUCUGCUCAGGUGGGAGACAGAUGCCCCCCACAUGCACAUCUGGUGUUUAUGAAGCAGAUACUGGGGCUUCAUAAACACAGAAGGGGCAGGGAAGUAGCCCCAGGGCAUAGUGUGGGGCCUCCUGACUAAAAGUAGCUUGCAAACCCCUGCCUAUAACAGCCACUUCCUGGCAGUCAUUGUGCCACUUAGGAGCCCUCCUCACCGCUCUUCCUUUAGUUCCUUCACUCUGUAUAGACCCUGCCAGAGCAGCUCAGGGUGGAGCAGCUGCAGCCAUGGGACCUGCUCCAGGCAAGGCCCUAUGCUACACAGUCCCUGGGGGUGAGGAUUCCAGAGGAGUCAAUUCCCUACCCGCCCUUCCAGGGGAUGGCCGAGAUGAGCGUUCCCACAGGGAAAGUGAAAGUUGCAAGGCUGUUGCGGAAACACCAGGGGUUCCAUCUAGGUCUUGCUGCUCAUCUCACAGAAAGCCAGUCACUGAGACAAGUAUUGUCAGGGAAGAAGGCUUUAUCCAGGUGCUACAGACAGGGUGAACAAGAGAUCAGUCUCAAAUCCAUCAUCAUCAACUGACUAAAAUUAGGGGUUUAUAUAGCAGGGAAGAAAUGUAACUACAUGUGGGAAAACAGGGAUUAACGAGGGGCAAGGAAGAGGAGUUGGCCAACAGGCAGCAGGUGGUCACCUGGGGAAUCAUGAUGGGUGAGGGGUCUGGCUUCUCACUUUCCAGAUGUGGGGAUCUGGUAAAUUUCAGUUUCUUGAUACCGUCUGGGAGGAUUGCUGGCUGGUUUCCUGAGAAAGGAAUUCAGAUGACAUAAAUGUAAAUUUCUCCUUGGGUUUCAAGACUGAGAGGGUCAAUUUCUAGGUUUAUUCAAGAAAAACCAUAAACAUCAGUUCUAUGGGACAAUUGGGCCCAUUUCAAGGCUCUGAGGAUAAGGGUUAAUGAGGGGACAGAGUCGCCUGGAGAAGUUCACUGGGGCCUACAAGAAACUAGAGAGGCUUCCUGGCAAAGCUCUAUGCUGUCUAUCCUCUCUUCUCUCCUUGCAGGAAGAUUCCAGUAUAAUAGACCCGAGGUGAAAAGGCUUUUGUUCAAUAAGUAGAAAACUGAAGGGGGGUGGGAGGCACAUGGAUUUGAACCAGAGACCGCUUGGCCUGCAGGCAAAUGCUGUACCUUCAGUUGCACCCCUCACUUGUUACAGCUGUUUCUGAUAAGCACUUGUGCAGCCCCAUCAGCACCUCGAUUUCUUCUUGGUGAGUCCAUGGGAACAGCCCCACUGCAAACAACCCAUUCCUGCUCUCCUCUUUCCUCUAAACCUCAACCUCCUCCUACCUGGCAGUCCACAGGCCUACAGCUUCUCCUCAGUGGGAAAGACAUCAGCUUGGAAAACCACUUGGAAAGCCAACGUUAUCCUAGAAAAGCUUUUUAAAUGACCCAGCAGGACAAGUCUCCGGAUGGCCUUGGCCAACCCGGUGCUUCCCUCUUUUCUUGGUUGUAGUUCUCAGAAUAACUAGAGAAUGUACUGGGAGUGUUGUCCUGAGAUAAGGAGGAACUGUCCUAAACCUGGACUCUGUUCCCAUCACACCUAGAACAGGAUGUCCUGCAACGCUUUAGCCCAAUGAUCCAAGUUGCCCUUGGGGUAUAAAACUUGACAGCAGAGGGCGUUCAGGGUCCCUCAGCUGCAGUGUGAAGUGGGACACACAGGUGAGACUCCAUCUGCCCUGGGCAGGUUCCUGAGCCUUGGGGGACCAGUUCACCCUACAUCCCAGGCUUCUGUUGUCCCUUGCCUGCCUGUAAGGAAUAAAGUUGCUUUGCUUAA